AGGCAUGUGCACGCCUUUCUCUUUCAUCCACACACCCCUGUGCACCUGUGAGACGGAGGCCUGUCAUUCUCUUUCAGUAUGGGAUCGAGUUUCCGUCUGCUGUUAUACAAAAUCAAUUUAUUUUAAUUUGAAUGUAAUUGACGUGAACGCGUCUUAUAUACUAAGUUUCAACAACGGAUCUCUUGGCUCUCGCAUCGAUGAAGAACGCAGCGAAAUGCGAUAAGUAAUGUGAAUUGCAGAAUUCAGUGAAUCAUCGAAUCUUUGAACGCACCUUGCGCUCCUCGGUAUUCCUUGGAGCAUGCCUGUUUGAGUAUCAUGAAAUUCUCAAAGAAAAUCUUUCGUCGACUCGGCGGACUUUGCUUUGGACUUGGAGGUCUGCAGACUUCACGGUCUGCUCCUCUCAAACGAAUCAGCUGGAUCUCGGUGAGCUUGGUUCCACUCGGCGUGAUAAGUAUCACUCGCUGAGGACACCCGUAAAAACGG
rnacentral:rRNA from 1 species